rnacentral:rRNA from 1 species
ACACCUGUUCCCAUGCCGAACACAGAAGUUAAGCUCUUUAGCGCCGAUGGUAGUCGGACUUACGUUCCGCAAGAGUAGGACGUUGCCAGGC